rnacentral:rRNA from 1 species
AGUCAACAUGCCCAGAGGACGUGGAUAACCUCGGGAAACUGAGGAUAAACCGCGAUAGGUCAUAAUAUCUGGAAUGAUUUAUGGUUUAAAUCUAUAUGGCCUCUGGAUUGGACUGCGGCCGAUCAGGCUGUUGGUGAGGUAAUGGCCCACCAAACCUAUAACCGGUACGGGCUCUGAGAGGAGAAGCCCGGAGAUGGGCACUGAGACAAGGGCCCAGGCCCUAUGGGGCGCAGCAGGCGCGAAAACUCUGCAAUAAGCGAAAGCUUGACAGGGUUAUUCUGAGUGAUUUCCGCUAAGGAAAUCUUUUGGCACCUCUAAAAAUGGUGCAGAAUAAGGGGUGGGCAAGCCUGGUGUCAGCCGCCGCGGUAAUACCAGCACCCCGAGUGGUCGGGACGAUUAUUGGGCCUAAAGCAUCCGUAGCCGGUUCUACAAGUCUUCCGUUAAAUCCACCUGCUUAACAGAUGGGCUGCGGAGGAUACUAUGGAGCUAGGAGGCGGGAGAGGCAAGCGGUACUUAGUGGGUAGGGGUAAAAUCCGUUGAUCCAUUGAAGACCACCAGUGGCGAAGGCGGCUUGCCAGAACGCACUCGACGGUGAGGGAUGAAAGCUGGGGGAGCAAACCGGAUUAGAUACCCGGGUAGUCCCAGCUGUAAACGAUGCAGACUCGGUGAUGAAUAGGCUUCGUGCCUAUUCAGUGCCGCAGGGAAGCCGUUAAGUCUGCCGCCUGGGGAGUACGGUCGCAAGACUGAAACUUAA